rfam:Gossypium arboreum cultivar AKA8401 contig_14806_1, whole genome shotgun sequence.
AAUCCAAGCAUAGGAUGUUUCCUAAGCAAAUCUUUGAACCUUUCCAAUGCUUUAUAUAGUGUUUCAUCCUCUAGUUGCUUAAAGGAUGUUAUGUCAUUUCUCAGUUU